rnacentral:rRNA from 1 species
UGGGCGUAAGCGUGCGUAGGCGGCUUUUUAUGUCGGAUGUGAAAUCCCUGAGCUCAACUUAGGAAUUGCAUUCGAUACUGGAAAGCUAGAGUAUGGGAGAGGAUGGUAGAAUUCCAGGUGUAGCGGUGAAAUGCGUAGAGAUCUGGAGGAAUACCGAUGGCGAAGGCAGCCAUCUGGCCUAAUACUGACGCUGAGGUACGAAAGCAUGGGGAGCAAACAGGAUUAGAUACCCUGGUAGUCCAUGCCGUAAACGAUGUCUACUAGCCGUUGGGGCCUUUGAGGCUUUAGUGGCGCAGCUAACGCGAUAAGUAGACCGCCUGGGGAGUACGGUCGCAAGACUAAAACUCAAAUGAAUUGACGGGGGCCCGCACAAGCGGUGGAGCAUGUGGUUUAAUUCGAUGCAACGCGAAGAACCUUACCUGGCCUUGACAUACUAAGAACUUUCCAGAGAUGGAUUGGUGCCUUCGGGAACUUAGAUACAGGUGCUGCAUGGCUGUCGUCAGCUCGUGUCGUGAGAUGUUGGGUUAAGUCCCGCAACGAGCGCAACCCUUUUCCUUAUUUGCCAGCGGGUUAUGCCGGGAACUUUAAGGAUACUGCCAGUGACAAACUGGAGGAAGGCGGGGACGACGUCUAGUCAUCAUGGCCCUUACGGCCAGGGCUACACACGUGCUACAAUGGUCGGUACAAAGGGUUGCUACCCU